rnacentral:lncRNA from 1 species
CGUGAGAGGAUAAAGAUAAGUGGUUUCUCAUUUGAAUUCAAAUCGAAUUUGAAUUCAAAUGCCAACCAACUCAUGUUUAUUCACUCUUGGCCUGAGAAGAGAAGGGCGUGGGCUACUUUAUGCAUCAAAAAUUUUCACGAGAAACCUUUUCUCGUGUGGAAGAAGUGGCGCACAAAAUAAAGGGGUGGCGCAGGGAUUUGUUAACCAUUCAAAUUCAAACAUCCUUUGAAUUUGAAUGGCCAAGC